GUAGUCCUUGCUGUAAACGAUGUAUACUUGGUGUAACUGGAAUCAACCCUAGUUGUGCCGGAGCUAACGCGUUAAGUAUACCGCCUGGGGAGUACAGUCGCAAGGCUGAAACUCAAAAGAAUUGACGGGGACCCGCACAAGCAGUGGAGCAUGUGGUUUAAUUCGAUGCAACGCGAAGAACCUUACCCAGGCUUGACAUGCAGUAGACCGGCUCAGAGAUGAGCCUUUCCUUCGGGACUGCUGCACAGGUGCUGCAUGGCUGUCGUCAGCUCGUGCCGUGAGGUGUUGGGUUAAGUCCCGCAACGAGCGCAACCCUUAUCAUUAGUUGCCAACAUUUAAGGUGGGAACUCUAAUGAGACUGCCUGGGUUAACCAGGA
rnacentral:rRNA from 1 species